CCUAGACCCGCCGCCAAGGCCCCGCGCCCAGACUAAUCCUUUCCAGCGGAGAAGAGAUCCGGCGGCCCUUGACUCGCGCCGCGCCGUGUGACGCCACCAGAAGACUGGCCAAUCACAGCUCGGCGUCCCCAGGGAAGGGAUGCAGAUUGCCAUCAGCCAAAGGAGGAGAUGCCCAGGUAGAGUCCUGGGAAAAUACCUGAGGAGGAGUGCCCUCCCCGUGGUGUGCUCUCCUGCACCUGGAUCCCAUGCCCUUACUAGAGGGCGCCCAGCGAUGGCCGUGGCAUGAUUUGUAAGACAACUCCUGUCAUCUCGCCGUGACCACGAAAAUGGGACCCCAGGCUGCUCAGUCAGCCUUGUCCCUCCCCACGGCCACCGGGACCGGAGUGAGGCUCCUUUCUAUGGCCCGACCCAGAAUGACCCCAGCUGCUCAUCCAGACCAGAGGCCAGCCUCCCCUGUCUGCUGAGAAGUUAAUUAUCCAUAUCCCCAAAGAGAUGUUGUUGUCUGCUCUUCAUUUUCUGCCUGGAAUUUUAAAAAAUAAUGUAU